CCUACGGGAGGCAGCAGUGGGGAAUAUUGCACAAUGGGGGGAACCCUGAUGCAGCGACGCCGCGUGAGGGAAGAAGUAUCUCGGUAUGUUAAGCCCUAUCAGCAGGGAAGAAAAUGACGGUACGUGACUAAGAAGCCCUGGAGAACUACGUGCCAGCAGCCGCGGUAAUACGGAGGGGGCAACCGUUAUCCGGAUUUACUGGGCGUAAGGGGAGCGCAGACGGCUGUGCAAGUCUGGAGGGAAAGGCGGGGGACCAACCCCCGAACUGCUGUGGAAACUGUAAAGCUGGAGUACAGGAGAGGUAAGCGGAAUGCCUGGUGUAGCGGUGAAAUGCGUAGAUAUUAGGAAGAACACCAGUGGCGAAGGCAGCUUGCUGGGCUGCGACUGACGUUGAGGCUCGAAAGCGUGGGGAGCAAACAGGAUUAGAUACCCUUGUAGUC
rnacentral:rRNA from 1 species